GUUCGGCCGGCAGGCCGUAGGCGGCCGCGAUCCUCGAAAAAUCGGGUGGGACCGGUGACACGCCGACCGGUUCGACGCCGGCGUCGCGCA
rnacentral:tRNA from 1 species